UGAAAGGAAAAUUUUAUUGUACAGUCGUACGACGGGUAUGGGGGUAUGGGCAUGUUAUAGGAUAGCGGGUGUUGAGCACUAAAGCAGUUGCAUGUAUCUAAGAUAAGAGUUGCGAAAAAUGUUAAGGUGGAUGAGUGAUUAUACUAGAUUAGACUAGAUAAAGUUAGUAUCAGAGAAAAGAGGUGAGAAAAGGUAGGAGUGGUGCUAAUCUAGGAAAAGUUGAGAGAAUGGGGAUUGAGGUGGUUUGGUUAAAUAAGUAGAGCACAUUAAGUUAGAGAAUAGAAAAAAAAAAAAGAAGGGGUAGAUCUAAACUG
rnacentral:misc_RNA from 1 species